CACUAUGCCUGGCCGUAAACAUUGAUAAAAUAUUACACAUAUUAUCCGCCUGGGUACUACGAGCAGUAGCUUAAAACCCAAAGGACUUGGCGGUGCUUUAGACCCCCCUAGAGGAGCCUGUUUCUAGAACCGAUAAUCCCCGUUCAACCUCACCCUUCCCUGUUAAUCCUGCCUAUAUACCGCCGUCGUCAGCCUACCCUGUGAAGGAAUCAUAGUGGGCUAAACUGGUACUACCCUUAAUGUCAGGUCGAGGUGUAGCAUAUGGAAGGGGAAGCAAUGGGCUACAUUCGCUACAAUAGCGAAUCACGAAAGAUGCACUGAAAUAUGCAUCCGAAGGUGGAUUUAGCAGUAAGGAGGGAGCAGAGUGCUCUCCUGAAGUCGGCUCUUAAGCGUGCACACAUCGCCCGUCACUCUCCCCGAACCAGUCUAAACUGGUAAUUAACAACACGGACGCUAUCGAGGGGAGGCAAGUCGUAA
rnacentral:rRNA from 1 species